rnacentral:rRNA from 1 species
AUACGGAGGAUGCGAGCGUUGUCCGGAAUUACUGGGCGUAAAGGGCGCGUAGGCGGCGCUUCAAGUCGUCUGUCAAAUGGGAGGGCUUAACCCUUUUUCGCAGACGAAACUGGAGAGCUUGAGAAGCAGAGAGGCAAACAGAAUUCCUGGUGUAGCGGUGAAAUGCGUAGAUAUCAGGAAGAAUACCAGUGGCGAAGGCGGUUUGCUGGCUGCAUACUGACGCUGAAGCGCGAAAGCCAGGGGAGCGAACGGGAUUAGAUACCCCGGUAGUCCUGGCAGUAAACGAUGUAUGCUGGGAGUGAGACUAGCGAUAGUUUCGUGCCGAAGUUAACGCGAUAAGCAUACCGCCUGGGGAGUACGGUCGCAAGAUUGAAACUCAAAGGAAUUGACGGGG